GAUGAACGCUGACAGCAUGCUUAACACAUGCAAGUCCACUUGAAUUUGGGUUUUUAACUUAGGUUUGGGUGGCGGACGGGUGAGUAACGCGUAAAGAACUUGCCUCACAGCUAGGGACAACAUUUGGAAACGAAUGCUAAUACCUAAUAUUAUGAUAAUAGGGCAUCCUAUAAUUAUGAAAGCUAUAAGCGCUGUGAGAGAGCUUUGCGUCCCAUUAGCUAGUUGGAGAGGUAACGGCUCACCAAGGCGAUGAUGGGUAGCCGGCCUGAGAGGGUGAUCGGCCACAAGGGGACUGAGACACGGCCCUUACUCCUACGGGAGGCAGCAGUGGGGAAUAUUGGACAAUGGACCGAGAGUCUGAUCCAGCAAUUCUGUGUGCACGAUGAAGUUUUUCGGAAUGUAAAGUGCUUUCAGUUGGGAAGAAACAAAUGACGGUACCAACAGAAGAAGUGACGGCUAAAUACGUG
rnacentral:rRNA from 1 species